rnacentral:rRNA from 1 species
UACAGAGGUCUCAAGCGUUGUUCGGAAUUACUGGGCGUAAAGGGUGCGCAGGCCGCGCGGGCAGUCAAAUGUGUAAUCCAGGGGCUCAACCCCUGAACUGCGCUUGAUACUUCCGUGCUCGAGCUUUGGAGAGGAGUCUGGAAUUCUCGGUGUAGCAGUGAAAUGCGUGGAUAUCGAGAAGAACACUUAGGGCGUAGGCAAGACUCUGGACAAAUGCUGACGCUCAUGCACGAAGGCUAGGGUAGCGAACGGG